rnacentral:tRNA from 1 species
GCGCCCAUAGCUCAGCUGGAUAGAGCGUCGGACUACGAAUCCGAAGGCCCUUGGUUCGAAUCCAAGUGGGCGUACCA